rnacentral:rRNA from 1 species
AGAGUUUGAUCAUGGCUCAGGAUGAACGCUAGCUACAGGCUUAACACAUGCAAGUCGAGGGGCAGCAUGUUGGUUGCUUGCAACCAACGAUGGCGACCGGCGCACGGGUGAGUAACGCGUAUCCAACCUACCCUUGUCCAUCGGAUAACCCGUCGAAAGGCGGCCUAACACGAUAUGCGGUUCACGGCAGGCAUCUAAGGUGAACGAAAUGUGAAGGAGAAGGAUGGGGAUGCGUCUGAUUAGCUUGUUGGCGGGUAACGCCACAAGGCUACGAUCAGUAGGGGUUCUGAGAGGAAGGUCCCCCANAUUGGAACUGAGACACGGUCCAAACUCCGUACGGGAGCA